rnacentral:rRNA from 1 species
UAAUACGUAGGGGGCAAGCGUUGUCCGGAUUCAUUGGGCGUAAAGAGCGUGUAGGCGGCCAGGUAGGUCGGUUGUGAAAACUGGAGGCUCAACCUUCAGACGUCGACCGAAACCCCCUGGCUAGAGUCCGGGAGAGGAGAGUGGAAUUCCUGGUGUAGCGGUGGAAUGCGCAGAUAUCAGGAAGAACACCCGUGGCGAAAGCGGCUCUCUGGAACGGUACUGACGCUGAGACGCGAAAGCGUGGGGAGCGAACAGG